GAGCGUCCAGAGCGGGCCCCGCUUCAGGGGUGAAGGCGACAGCGACGGCUCUGUGGGCCACAAGUUUCAUACCUUUGUGGUGUGAGAAGCUGCAUCAUUUUUGUGGGCUCGUGCGGGAUAACUUCGGAGUGGCAGGUCAAUCACUACCAUCCCAUCCAGUCGGAGCGAGUCUGAAUGCAGCAAGCGGGUCUCGGCCUCUGGGCCUCCCUGCCUACACAGCCGUCCCACACAGCCAUCCUCUGGGGCUCUGACCUCGGCGCUGCCACCACUCCAGCCUCUGCUCUCCUCUCCUGCAACCUCGUAGCCGUGUCACCGUGUCACCCAGAGCACUGGAUGGAGCUCUUUCUAUAGAGUCAAUAGCAACAUAUUGCCCACAUGAGUGGUGAGCUAGCCGACUAGGCCCAGGUGAGAAUCCUGGCCACAGGAACUUUGAUUUUAUCCACACUUAACAUACUCUGUAGCAAACACACAAUAACUCAGCCCACCUUGGAGGCAGGGAGGGCAGUCUUAACUGAUAUGCUCCCCAACCAGGAAGCUGCUCUCUGGGAGGGAAUCCAUCAGAGCAGGGCAUUUCUUGUGUUUAGCUAAUUUUGCAUAAUGACCCGGAGGACCGAUAAGAACCUUCAUGUCUCAUCUUGAGACCACUUCACAGGUCCACACCCCUAGCCCUUUGUCACAUUCCUGAUAAAUCCUUCCAAGGGGGAGCCCCCACCCUUUCAGUGCGCCUCCCUCUCUGAGGUAGCCCACACUCCCCUCUCUCUGAGUGUGCACUUUCUCUCUGUAAAUAAAACUUUUACUCUACUU